rnacentral:snRNA from 1 species
AUCGCUUCUCGGCCUUUUGGCUUAGAUCAAAGUGUAGUAUCUGUUCUUUUCAGCUUAAUAUCUGAAAGUUCCCGCACCGCGGGACCAGUAUAUUAAACUGAUUUUUGUAGACUGACGGGAUGCUUGGGGCUCGCUCCACUCCUGUCACGGGUCGACCCGGCAUUGCACUGCCGCCGGGAUCGGCCUACACAAU